GUGGCUGCUGGCGCAUAGCGGCUGGGUGCCGGCGCUGUUCCUGCCAGCGCCGGAGGCAGUGUUGGGCAAGCUGUUCGUCGUCGCCGGCCAGG
rnacentral:tRNA from 1 species